AGGCAUCCCGAGUGUUGGUACGGUAUAAGAUAACAUACUAGUUGAGUACCGAUACAGUAGGGUACGUUCGAUAUAGCGAAUCUAUGGAUGCUUAAUAUGUUAUGCUAAACAUUUUAUUCACUAUAAAGUGUAUUGUGUUUUAAUGUAUUGUAAUUCUACAAUUUUUACCUGACCUCUUUAAUUUUUGUACAAAUUUGUCUAUUUUUCAGAUUUUGUAUAUUUUUAUGUUUGCAAUACAGAAGGUAAGCCUUUGUGCAAUGGUAAAGAUGCUCUAUUGUGACCUAAAGAUCGUAGGUUUGAAAUAUAGGAACAAUCUUUCUGCAUGCUAGAGUAAGAUUACAUACAUUUGACCCUCCCAUACCCCACAACAGUAGGAGCCUUGUGCACUAAGUCUAUUUUUUUUGUGCAUUAUACUAAACUUUCUCAUAUGUGCAUGUCAUUCAAUUUUCAUUUAAUAACUCAUCAAAGCA
rnacentral:lncRNA from 1 species